UGGGGCGGCAGGGUAGCCUAGUGGUUAGAGCGUUGGACUAGUAACCGGAAGGUUGCAAGUUCAAAUCCCCGAGCUGACAAGGUACAAAUCUGUCGUUCUGCCCCUGAACAGGCAGUUAACCCACGUGCUUCUCCACCUGCAUUGCUUGCUGUUUGGGGUUUUAGGCUGGGUUUCUGUACAGCACUUUGAGAUAUCAGCUGAUGUACGAAGGGCUAUAUAAAUAAAUUUGAUUUGAUUUGAUUUGUUCCUAGGCUGUCAUUGAAAAUAAGAAUUUGUUCUUAACUGACUUACCUAGUAAAAUAAAGGUAAAAUAAAAUAAAAAAUCCAGUCUGGUAUAAUAUUGUCAACUGGUUAGGCUGUUCUCACUGUACAAUUCCUAUACUUUUCCAUAGGUGCAGAGACUCCAACAGUACAGCAGAGUCCUACUUACCCUGCAGCCUUGCCCUAUUCAAUGCCUAUCUGCAGUCUUUCCAAAAGGACUACAGUGCUACUAUCAAGGUCUCUGGUACUGUGGUCAUGGCAGUUGCAGUUCCACCAAUCCUCUUCAUCAUCCUCCGUGUUCUGAGGGGGCGUGGCAUCAUGUCUUAUUAUUACUAGGACCAGGAAACCCAUCAGCCUAUCAGCACUAUGAGGAAGAAGACUUGAUUGUAUCUAGAGCAAAAACUUUUUUAUCAGAUAAAAAAAUAAAAUAAUGUUUUAUAGCUAAAGGUAAAUAUUUGUUGUGUUUUUAUCUUUGUUUUAUCUGGAAGGAAGAUAGCACAAUUUCUUAAAUUGAAUGUAUAAAGUUAUUUCAAUGUUCUGUAUGAUCAUGAUUUACAAAACUGUCUAUUGAUUGAACAGUAUUAAUAAAGCAAACUGAUUUGAAAAUCAUUAUUUUCUACUGACUGGGGCUCCAGUGUAGAACAGAUCAACCAGGGGGAUUGAUUAGCACCGUGGUGUCCCUGAACAGAGUCAUUUUUCAGGCCCAUGGAGAACCAUGCUGUGGGCCUCUGGGCUCCUGGUAAUGAAUGGCUGGUAAUGCCCCAGGGGUUCACCAGGCCUGGCACAAACAGCAGGUGAACAGCAAGUUGUCACCUGUACACAGACAAACUGGAGAUUGGAAAGCACACAGCUAGUUACCCUUCUAAUUGAAACAAUAGGAAAUUACUGAAUCAUGAGCUGGGUCAGUUGUCUGUUAUUAGAGUGUGGUCUGUGGUAACGUCACAGUCAGAUCUCGCAAUACAUUCAUAAGCAGGCUGUACAUUACUCGGUCUGUGUACCACAUGUUUUCUCAUACCAGAGUUCUCUGUAUAGAGAUGU
rnacentral:lncRNA from 1 species